CUCACAAUGGCACAUGCCUAUAAUUCCUGCUACUGGGAGAGGCUGAGGCUUGUGGAUUGCUUGAGCUCCAGAGCUCUGUGCUGCAGUAGGCUAAGUCAAUUGGGUAUCUGCACUCAGUCUGGCAACUACAUGGUGACCCCUCAAGAGUGGAGGACAUCUAGCUGCCUAAAGAGAAGUGAAGUGGCCCAGGCUGGAAAUGGAGUUGGCCAAAACUUCCAUGCUUAUUAGCAGUGAGAUUGAACUGUGAGUGGCCACUGCAAUUCAAUUGUGGGCAAAAUAGGGGAAAGAAA
rnacentral:SRP_RNA from 1 species